GGGGUAAAGAAUUUAUCUAAGAUAUACCAGUCACUUCUCUCUAAAUAAGCAUAAAAAAUUUCUUCUGGUGUUGCCCAAUCCAUGGUGGUGUUGAUUGCUUGAGCGGUUAAGCCUAUUACUUGAGGAGGAUUUUUUUUUUUUUGAUUGAAGAGGAGGAAGUUGGGUUUGGUAUGAGGAUGAGGAAGACUAUAUCAGGGCUCUUUCCUAUUUGGAAAGAUGUUAGUUCGAAAAAAUUCUGCAUUUUGGAACUAUGUGGUUUUCAAAAUUGGAAACAGUG
rnacentral:lncRNA from 1 species